UCAGGGCCACUCACUCUCAGGAGCUUCUAGGGGACGAGCCUCUGGAAGGAAUUUGGCCAUGUCCCUUCCUCUUCCAGGCAGUAGCAGCUGCUGCUAGCUUGGUCUCAGGAGCUUCUGGGGACAAGAUGGCCAGACCCCUUGCUGCCUCUGGUUAUUGCUAGUUGGUGGCCUAGUCUCAGAGCUUUCAGGGGAGAGAAGGAGAUUCCCUGCUGUACCACCUUGCACCAUUCAAUGCCACACCUGUACUGGAUUAGUCCCUAAUUCACUGAUUGCUCCUGCCCUCCUUCACAGCUGCUUCACUGCAUCUGAUCCUACUUUGUUUUCCUGCCUAUUGCUCUGCUGCUGAGUGCCUGGCUGGAGGCCUGAGAGGCCCUUGGACUGAUCUUCAACAAACAAAACCCCUCCACCACUCCAGCCAUCUUUUACAUCUGCCUCAGCAGCCUUCCCUGUGUGUUCUUGCCCUUGUGUGGGUAACGGCUGUAGAGUAAGGUUGUGAGUGGCUCUAAAGCCAACAGAUUAGCAUAGGACAGGAUAUAAAGGAACACGCAUGUCAGGUGACCAGUAGGAAGGACAGAACAGAAUGGUCAUUGCUGUUCCAAGCCCGGACUCCAGACUCCCAGUGUGAGCAAGGACCAGAUCCUGACUGAAGGACGCUCCCUCCGACAGCAUGGAUUGGGGACGCCUGACUUCGCUGGAUCAACUUGAUGUGUACCUGGUACUGAGGGACUAUCAAUAAGUUGCCAACCAAGUGGGAACUCUGUCACUUUGUCUGUUUUUAUUAUCACUGCCAAUUUUUAACUUUUUAUUGUUAUAUUGUCUGUUUAUUAGCUUUACACUUAUAACAGUUAAUAAAAAGGUUAACUAUAUUUUGCUGCUUAAACAUUUUUGUUGCCAUUUUGCUGCUAUAAGUAAAAUUUAUC